rnacentral:rRNA from 1 species
GACGAACGCUGGCGGCGUGCUUAACACAUGCAAGUCGAACGGAAAGGCCCUGCUUUUGUGGGGUGCUCGAGUGGCGAACGGGUGAGUAACACGUGAGUAACCUGCCCUUGACUUUGGGAUAACUUCAGGAAACUGGGGCUAAUACCGGAUAGGAGCUCCUGCUGCAUGGUGGGGGUUGGAAAGUUUCGGCGGUUGGGGAUGGACUCGCGGCUUAUCAGCUUGUUGGUGGGGUAGUGGCUUACCAAGGCUUUGACGGGUAGCCGGCCUGAGAGGGUGACCGGCCACAUUGGGACUGAGAUACGGCCCAGACUCCUACGGGAGGCAGCAGUGGGGAAUAUUGCACAAUGGGCGGAAGCCUGAUGCAGCAACGCCGCGUGCGGGAUGACGGCCUUCGGGUUGUAAACCGCUUCCGCCUGUGACGAAGCGUGAGUGACGGUAAUGGGUAAAGAAGCACCGGCUAACUACGUGCCAGCAGCCGCGGUGAUACGUAGGGUGCGAGCGUUGUCCGGAUUUAUUGGGCGUAAAGGGCUCGUAGGUGGUUGAUCGCGUCGGAAGUGUAAUCUUGGGGCUUAACCCUGAGCGUGCUUUCGAUACGGGUUGACUUGAGGAAGGUAGGGAAGAAUGGAAUUCCUGGUGGAGCGGUGGAAUGCGCAGAUAUCAGGAGGAACACCAGUGGCGAAGGCGGUUCUCUGGGCCUUUCCUGACGCUGAGGAGCGAAAGCGUGGGGAGCGAACAGGCUUAGAUACCCUGGUAGUCCACGCUGUAAACGGUGGGUACUAGGUGUGGGGUCCAUUCCACGGGUUCCGUGCCGUAGCUAACGCUUUAAGUACCCCGCCUGGGGAGUACGGCCGCAAGGCUAAAACUCAAAGGAAUUGACGGGGCCCCGCACAAGCGGCGGAGCAUGCGGAUUAAUUCGAUGCAACGCGUAGAACCUUACCUGGGUUUGACAUGGAUCGGGAGUGCUCAGAGAUGGGUGUGCCUCUUUUGGGGUCGGUUCACAGGUGGUGCAUGGCUGUCGUCAGCUCGUGUCGUGAGAUGUUGGGUUAAGUCCCGCAACGAGCGCAACCCUUGUUCACUGUUGCCAGCACGUUAUGGUGGGGACUCAGUGGAGACCGCCGGGGUCAACUCGGAGGAAGGUGGGGAUGACGUCAAGUCAUCAUGCCCCUUAUGUCCAGGGCUUCACGCAUGCUACAAUGGCUGGUACAGAGAGUGGCGAGCCUGUGAGGGUGAGCGAAUCUCGGAAAGCCGGUCUCAGUUCGGAUUGGGGUCUGCAACUCGACCUCAUGAAGUCGGAGUCGCUAGUAAUCGCAAAUCAGCAACGCUGCGGUGAAUACGUUCCCGGG